rnacentral:lncRNA from 1 species
GUAUAACAUGUAAGAACUGGGGAAAAACAACCCUCUGUGAGUGAAACUAUGAAGUCAUCAUUUCCUGGUUUAGAGCAGAGGUAUGUAGUCAUCAGGAAAGCAGGUUCACUGGCUUCCAGGUCUAGAAUAAAUUAGCACAUGUGAGACAAUGUGGUAAUGACAGAGGUGGAUGGGGAUUGCCAAUCUGAAAUCCAUAAAAUCAAAGUCUGGAGGAGAAUGCAUAUCUUGGCAGUGUCUAGGGCAGUGGUCUUUAAAAGCUUGUUUUUGGCCAUGAACUAUAAUAAAUGCUUUUAUUUUAUUUAAUUAUUUUUAUAGAGAUGAGGUCUUGCUAUGUUGUGCAGGCUGGAACUCCUGGGCUCAAGGAAUUCUCCUGCCUCAGCCUCCCAAGUAGCUGGGACUACAAGUGUGCCACUGCAUCUGGUUAAGAAAUACAUUUUAGAUGGGGCUUGGUGGCUCACACCUGUUAGCUCAACACUUUGGGAGGCUGAGGUGGGAGGAUCACUUGAGUCUAGGAAUUCGAGACCAGCCUGGGUAUCAUAAUGAGGCCGUGUUUCUACAAAAACAAACAAAAACUUAGCUGGGCAUGGUGGCAUGCACCUGUGAUCCCAGCUACUUGAAAGGCUGAAGUGGGAGGAUUGCUUGAGACCCAGAGGUUAAGGUUGCAGUGCGCCAUAAUUGUACCACUGCACUGCAGCCUGGGCAACAGAGUGAGACCCUGUCUCAAAAACAAAACACCCCCAAAAACCCCUAACAUCUUAUAUUGCGAUCUGCUUUCUCGCUUUGUGUGUGUGUAUAUCAGAAACCUGAGAUCUAGAGGAUGAGGAGGACUUAGGGGAGGUUAGUAUUCUAGGUAGGCAGUAUUCUAAGUAGAGAAGGCAGAAUGUGGUGAAGAGCCUGAGAAAAGAAACAGCUGGAAGAGUUUAAGGAAUUCAAAAAAGGCCACUGAAUACCAUGGAGGAGCUCAAAAGAAGUUUGGGUUUGGAUCAGGCAGGGCCUGUACCCUGUGGCCUGGGCAGUGUUUGCUGGAAUGGUGUAGCCCAGUGAGCUGAGUGUAAGCACCUCUUCCUAGCCCCAUUUUGGUAGCUCUACGCUGGCCAUAGUGGGAGUAUUCAUUCAUUCCAUCCUGCCAUGAAAAUCUAGGCCCCACUAUGAAAAUCAGGGUCUUUUUUCCUGGGAGCUGAUGGUUAAACAUUCAUGAACACACCUUUGGGGUUAUUCUACUACUUUUUAGAUUUGUUGCAUUUCCCUCCAGGGUUCAGGAGACAGAAACUAUCCCCACAAACUAAACACCAGCCCCAAAGUUAAUAUUAUGUCCCUUUUUCUUUUCUUUUCUUUUCUUUUUUUCUCCCUAUAUCACCUAGGCUAGAGUGCAGUGGCACCAUCUUGGCUUACUGCAGCCUCCGCCUUCUGGGUUCAAGUGAUUCUCCUGCCUCAGCCUCCCAAGUAGCUGGAACUAUUUAUAUUUUCAGUAGAGAUGGGGUUUUGCCAUGUUGGCCAGGCUGGUCUCAAACUCCUGAUCUCAAGCAAUCUUCCCACUCGGACUCCCAAAGUGCUGAGGCGGGUGGGGUGGAUCACCUGAGGUCAGGAGUUCGAGAGCAGCCUGGCCAACAUGGUGAAACCCUGUCUCUACUAAAAAUUAGCUGGGCGUGCUGGUGGGCGCCUGUAAUCCCAGCUACUCAGGAGGCUGAGGCAGGAGAAUCACUUGAACCUGGGAGGUGGAGGUUGCAGUGAGUGGAGAUUGUGCCACUGAACUCCUGCCUGGGUGACAGAGUGAGACUCCAUCUCAAAAAAUAAAUAAAUAAAUAAAUAAAAAUAAAGGAAGCAUAGCAUAUUUAAAAUGCAAGAGCUAAAAGGAUUGGCUAAAUUUAAGAUACCUUUAGGAGCUACGGGCUGAGGACAAUAAAAUAUAUGUUUUUAUGCAUCUAUUUAGGAAAUAUUUGUUUAUCUUGAUGAUGUUAUGCCAAUACGGUAGCUUUUAAGUUAUUUCUGAACUUAAUAGUCUGUGAAGGCAGUAAGUGAAAUAUCUUUCUGCAACUAUUGCAAACACUCAUUAUGAUCAAAAUAGUUAAUACUUUAAAAAUUUGUUGGUGAUGUACAAUGUUAUGAUAAACAUUGUGGUGAUUGCAUUAAGGAAUACAGUUUUUCUCUACCUCCCAUGCAAGAAACAAAUAUUUCACAUGGGUUUAGUAAAACGCAAGGCUCAUCUAUUUGAUCAUUUAAAAAUUUUGAAUUAUAUUUAUUGAAACAUGACAUACUGUGCUCUUAUACCUCAAUUACAUUUUGUUCUGUUUUCCAAGUUCAUGUCUUAUAAAUCUCUUGUAUAAACUGUAGGUUAAAUUCAAAAUAAAAAAUCACAGUGUAAAAAAAAUCCAUUCUUUGCUGCGGAGAAUGGCAUGAGUAAAUUUAGGAAGGCCAGUUAGGAGACUACCGAAGAAUCCUAGGGAGGAGGACAUGAUGGCUUGAGCUAAGGUUGUGUUAACAAUUCACACACAGGAAAUGAAACACACAUGUAAAAUCAGAGAAUUGAAAUCUUUAAAUUUCAAAUUAGAAUUGGAUAUAUCAGUGGGAACUCAUGAGUUUUUCCCUCUCUUUAAAAACGUAUUAUUUUACAGCUUUAUUAAAAAUGCCUCAAAAUAAGGAAGGCCUAAAAGCAAUUGUCCUUCCCAGUGCCCAGAAUGUUCCGUGUUCUGGAUUUAGUCAAUUGCUUCCUCCUGGCGUCUUUUAGCUUGAUUUUCUCUUUCUUGUUUUGCCUGUAGAUUGGAAGUUGGAUCUGAAGACUCAAUUUGAUUCAGCUAAAAUCUUAAAAUUUUUGACAAAAAUACUAUACAUGUAUUGCUUUAUACUUCACAUCACAUCACAUCACAUCAGGAAGCACAUAAUGUCUGGUUGUCUCAUUUUAAUGAUACUAAGGUUGACUAGUGAUUAUAGGUGGUUAUGGCCUGAUAUAAUAUUCCCUAUUAUCCUUUAUCUAAUUGUUUUAGCAUUCAUUGAUGUUUGUUAAGUCAUUGGCUUCAUCAGGGCUUUCUAGAUGGUGCCUGCCUGACUGCCUGCCCACCCGCCUACCGUCCUCCUUCUCUCCCUCUUUCCUCCUUUCAAAAAACAUCUUUACUGAGGUGCAACUGACAUAUAAUAAACUUCACAUUUUGGCCAGGUGAGGUGGCUCACACCUGUAAUCCUAGCACUUUGGGAGGCUGAAGUGGAUAGAUCACUUAAGGCCAUGAGUUCGAGACCAGCCUGGCCAACAUGGUGAAACCCCGUCUCUACCAAAAUACAAAAAUUAGCCAGGCGUGGUGGCGGGUGCCUGUAAUCCCAGCUACUCAGGAGGCUGAGGCAGGAGAAUUGCUUGAACCCAGGAGGCAGAGCUUGCAGUGAGCCGAGAUCACGCCAUUGCACUCCAGCCUGGGUGACAGAGUGAGACUCCACCUCAAAAAAACAAAACAAAACUGUACAUUUUAAAAUGUACAAUUUGAUAAAUAUUGACAAAGGUAUAUAUCUGUUAAACCAUUGCCACAAUCAAGACAAUGAAUAUAUCCUGUCUUGACAUUUCCUUUGCCGUUUUGUGUAUUUGAAAAUUUUUUUUCUUUUCUGUUUUUUUUUUUUUUUUUUUUGAGACAGAGUCUCACUCUGUCGCCCAGGCUGGAGUGCAGUGGCACGACCUGGGCUCACAGCAGCCUCCGCCUCCCGGUUUCAAGCAAUUCUCCUGCCUCAACCUCCCGAGUAGCUGGGAUUACAGGCAUGCGCCACCACACCCAGCUAAUUUUUGUAUUUUCAGUAGAGACGGGGUUUUGCCAUGUUGGCCAGGCUGGUCUCGAAUUCCUGACCUCAGGUGAUCCUCCUGCCUAGGCCUCCCAAAGUGCUGGGAUUACAGGCGUGAGCCACCAUGCCCGGCCGGAAAUUUUCACAAUCAAAAGUAAAAAAAAAUAUGAGGCAGAUCAACAGGGCUUGGUAAUUGAAUGCUGGUAGUUAACAAGAGAAGGGUCUUGGAUGACUCCUGGUUUUGUGGUAUAAGUCACUGAGUAAAUAAAUGGUAGUACCAUUUAUUGAAAUUGAAAACACUGGAGGAGAAAGUUGGUGAGUUCAGUUUAAUACAUGUUAAGUUUGAGGUCACAAUGGGACAUCCAAGUAGAAAUGUCAAGUAGGCAGGUGGUUAAAAGGAACCGUCUGAACUGGAGACGUACGUUUGCAAAUAUUGGCAUUUAGUAGCUGAAGCCAGGGUGUAGAAAUUAUCUGAGAGUAAGUACAGAAUGGAAUGAAUAGGCUUAGAGGGAAAAAAGCUCUGAAAAAUUCAGUGUUUUAUGAUCAGGUAAUAGAGGAGGAUGAAGGAGAAAAAUAUGAGUGUAUAGUAUGGCAGAAGCUAGGAGGAAAUAGGGAGAGAAGAUGCCAGGUGUGCUGAUUCCAAUAAGUCAUAUUCUGUAUAUCAGUUUUACUUUUCUCUCAGAAGUAAUACAUAAACAUUAUGAUCUAUGCACCAGUAAAUAUGGGCACACUCCUGAAAGACGUGUCAUCUUUAGUGCACUAACAAAAUUAAAUUUCUGAGCCUGUAAAGCUGAGGACUGGACUGUGAGCUCUGUAAAUCAACCAAAGUAAAUGAUACCACGGGAUACUCUUGGUACUAGUUGGCUAGCUUUGUUGGUGACCUCUAAGCCUUAGGAAGUCUUUCUUUAGAGCAUUUAUAGUAUUUAUUAAUUUUUAAAAUGAGUUAUAUGAAAAUAAAAUAUAUUUCUCACUGAUAUUGGAUAGGCUAAUAUCCACUGCUAGCCUAUCCAGUAUCAGCGGGAAAGUUGCAAUAACCCCAAUUUUUUUUUUUUUUUUGAGACAGA